AUUUCAUAUCGUUUGUUAUAUAGUUAUUAUUAUCUGCUGCGUAUUUCUGAUAUUGGUUAUCUAUUGAAUUGGAUUGAUUUGUUUUUAGGUGAACCUCUCGCUUUAGAUUGUUUGGGGUGGGAUAGCGAGGGGUUGUAUUUGUUAGUUGGGGAUCAUAAUUCACUGAGUAACAUUAGGUUACUCAUCCAACUCCGUUGUCCUUUUUGCAGGUAGCUUAGGUAAGGAUGAUCGGAUAACAGGGUGCUGGACGUUAGGACCGCCGAUGUAGAUUUUCAUGCCUUUUGUAAACGGUAUUGUGGAUUUGUGUUUAGUUGACUCGUUUUGGCAUUAGGCCGGGACCGGUCUCGAAUUAUAUCAAUGUAUGGAUAUUUCUCGAAUCAAUAAAGUAAUUGUUUUAUAUGCGCUUCAUGAGUACUUUGAUAUUUGACUAGUCCGGUCUAACACAACGUUAGGUCAUAGUACGGGUUAAAAAGCCUUAGGCCUCGAUCUAACGGAAAACGCUAACUCUAGGUACGGGUUGCAAAGCCUUGUGCCUUGACGCAGCAGGACGAGUUAGUGGAUAAACUGUUCUAGGUCGUGGAGUAAAUUUUGUGACUCUGACUGGAUCGUCCCUAGCCCGUCACGUAGCGCUUCUGGACCAUGGUGUUGGGUUGGACGGUCAGUCAUGUUCUUGCUUGAUUGUUGGUUGGCUCAAUCAUCUCCAACCCUGGGUGUUGGAUGGUCGAUCGGUCAUGUUCUUGUUUGAUUGUUGGCCGGUUGAUCGACCAUAUGUCUAGGACGGUUCGGGGGUGUUACAGUCGGGGGCAUUCGUAUUUCAUAGUCAGAGAUGAAAUUCUUGGAUUUAUGAAAGACAAACAACUGCGAAAGCAUUUACCAAGGAUGUUUUCAUUCAUCAAGAAAGAAAGUUGGGGGCUCGAAGACGUUCAGAUACCGUCCUAGUCUCAACCAUAAACGAUGCCGACCAGGGAUCAGCGGAUGUUGCUUUUAGGACUCGCUGGCACCUUAUGAGAAAUCAAAGUUUUUGGGUUCCGGGGAGUAUAAUUAAAGGAUGAAACUUUAAAGGAAUUGACUGGAAGGGCACCACCAGGAGUGGAGCCUGCGGCUUAAUUUGAUUCAACACGGGAAACUUACCAGGUUCAGACAUAGUAAGGAUUUGAGUGAGAGCUCUUUCUUGAUUCUACGGGUGGUGGUGCAUGGCCGUUCUUAGUUGGUGGAGCAAUUUGUCUGGUUAAUUUCGUUAACGAAGCGAGACAUCAGCCUGCUAACUAGCUACGUGGAGGCAUCCCUUCACGGCCGGCUUCUAGAGGGACUAUGGCCGUUUAGGCCAAGGAAGUUUGAGGCAAUAACAGAUCUGUGAUGCCCUUAGAUGUUCUGGGCAUGCGACGCGCUACACUGAUGUAUUCAACAAGUUCACACCUUGGCCGACAGGCCCGAGUAAUCUUUGAAAUUUCAUCGUGAUGGGGAUAGAUCAUUGCAAUUUUUGGUCUUCAACGAGGAAUUCCAAGUAAGCGCGAGUCAUCAGCUCGCGUUGACUACGUCCCUGCCCUUUGUACACACCGCCCGUCGCUCCUACCGAUUGAAUGAUCCGGUGAAGUGUUCGGAUCGCGGCGACGUGGGUGGUUCGCCGUCUGCGACGUCACGAGAAGUCCACUAAACCUUAUCAUUUAGAGGAAGGAGAAGUCGUAACAAGGUAUCCGUAGGUGAACCUGCAGAAG
rnacentral:rRNA from 1 species